GUUGGUCACUGACCUUUUAUGUCAGAGGUCACUAACCUCAUAAGAGGUAUCCGUGUUUUAACUGUACGUGCCGAGAACGCGAUAUUUUAUCUGAGGAAAUUUGAACGUUCUCUCGGCACAAACUGAACGGUGUUAUAAUUUGGUCUUUAAUAUGUAAGGCACUCGAAUACAGGAAUUAAACUAAACGAACUCUAAGUUACAACAUAAUGGCGACGAGGAUGUUGAACUAAUUAAGUAGAGUAACGUAACGUCAGAUAUCGAGUGUUAUCAUGAUAAUUUUUAUUUAAGAGAAGCUUGGUGCAAAGUAACUUAACAGACGUUUGAGUGAGUUGGAGUGAGGCUGAACGGUGAACUGAGUCGUGACUGUUGCAUAUAAUUGUGGAUAUCACUGUGGACCCGGAACAGGCCACAGCAAGUAAAUAUGGCGCUCAGUCUCAGCACUCCAGAGAAGUUCCAUGAAGGUGAAGACUUCGAUAUAUGGCUAGAUGGAUUUGAAGUGUACCUGUGUGCUUUAGGCAUAGAAGAAGUGACUCGGAAGAGAGCACUGUUGCUUCAUUUACUGGGCACUGACAUCCAACAGAAACUAAAGGAUAUGGCUGAAAUUGAAUCCGAUUCAGCACUGCCAAAUGACUAUGAACGCACCAAAGCAAAGCUGAGACGUAUUCUUAAACCCCAGGUCCGAACUCUGUACGAAAGGAACAUAUUCCACAACAUGACCAUGAUGGACCGAGAUGAAAAUAUUAGAGAUUUUGUGGGGCGCUUGAAGAAACAGGCAGAGAAGUGUGACUUUACUCGGGAGCAGAGAACUGAGCUCAUUCGUGAUAUGAUAAUCUCACGGUGUCCGCACUCUUCGCUGCAAGUCAGAAUGCUUGAGGCACAGCACCUGACGGCAGAAGAUGCAAUCAAAAUGUGGGAGUCGUUUCUGCAGGUCCGAGUACAGGCAAAGAAACUUCAAGAGAUGAAUCUGACAAAAGAAGUCAAUCCGAGUCCGGAGCAGGAGCCGAAGAAAGAAGGAGAGUCGGCCUACCGAGUCGUCGGUGAAAAAGGCCAGAAAAGUCCGUUCCAACACGGCGACAGAAAAGGCGGACAGAGUCGAGGCCCAUGCUACCGAUGCGGAAGGAGUUCGCACAAAGCGAGUGACUGUUUAGUCACCAGAGGGAAAACGUGCAACAAGUGCGGAGGCAAGAACCAUUUUGCCAAGAUGUGCAAAAGCCGCCAAGAUGAUGGACCGAGCUACAAGCGGCGAGUGAAUGCCACAAGAGACGAAGUCGAAGCAGAUCGGACAGUGAGUGAUUUCGACGACUUUGCGUUCACGUCCGAGAGCAGCAGCGCUGAAGGACGUGGCACACUGACCUCAGUGCAGCUAAACGGUCAGACUGUGAGGGUUUUGGUUGACACAGGAGCCUCAGCAGAUAUUAUAACAAGAAAAGACUUCAAAACACUGGUCGGUUUCAAGACAGUGAAGACUAACCGGCGUCUGCUGCCGUAUGGCUCGAAGAUCCCUCUGAAGCUGGAUGGUCAGUUCUUGGCGACAACGGCGGUGAACGGCAGAGAGGUCCAGAGCUGCUGGCUGAUCGCGGCCCACGGCCAAGUUUCGCUUCUGAGUGGAGUAACGGCGGAGCUGCUCGGACUGAUAUCCACCGGGAAACACGUCAAUCAAGUAGCGGAGAACGGCAGCCAGCGCCUAUCACUCGAAGCGAUUCUGAAGGAGAACAAGGAUGUGUUUGAAGACAAGUUAGGACAACUGGCUGACGUAAAGGCCCAUUUGAGGCUAAAGGAAACGGCAGAGCCCGUUUUCAAGCGAGUCAGAACGGUCCCAUAUGCCCUGCAAGACCAAGUUGAGAGCGAGCUGAAGAAAUGGGAAGACAGUGGAAUUGCUGAGAAGAUCGAAUAUUCUGACUGGGGAACGCCACUGGUGGUGGUUCCGAAGCCCGGAGGAGGCAUCAGGAUUUGCGGUGACUACAAGUGCACUGUGAACCCUCAGCUUGAGGUUCCGAAACAUCCAAUGCCAACCUUAGAAGACAUUCUGGCAAAGCUGCCAGAUAUGAAGUUCUUCUGCAAGUUGGACCUCAGCACAGCGUAUUUGCAGAUGACGCUGGACGAAGAGAGCCAGAAGAUGACGGUGCUGAACACUCCGAGGGGACUGCUGAAGAUGAAGCGGUUACCAUACGGGAUAGCAGCCUCUCCAGCUAUAUUCCAAAGCACGAUGGAGAAGGUGCUUGAAGGCCUUCCAGGAGUGACAUGCUUCCAAGAUGACGUCCUUGUAGCGGGACCAACAGAGGCUGAAACAUUAGAGCGGUUAAGUGAAACGCUGAAGCGACUGAAGAAGUGGAAGCUCGUCCUAAAAAGGAAAAAGUGCGAGUUCAUGAUGAAGUCGAUUCGGUAUCUUGGAGUGGAACUCAGCGGUGACGGCGUGAAACCAGUGAAGGAGAAGGUGACCCCGGUGUUGGACGCUCCCAGACCUCGGAACACGGGUACUGGCGGAACCGUUUCACACCGAAGAUAACGGCCAGCCCUUCCCGUUCGACCUGGGCAUAAUUCUUCUCGGCUGUGGAUAGGCUUCUGGAGGCAAAUCUGACAGGCCUCUCGUUCCCGUCUCCGUCCACCUGCACGAGAACGGCUCCUAAGCCAUACGGACUGGCGUCCGUGAUCAAACGCACUGGCUUCCGUCCGUCGUAAUGUGCCAAGACGGGUGCUUGAGUGAGCCUCUUCUUCAGCUCGUUGAAGCUGGCUUCUUCAGUCGCCGUCCAUUUCCACUUUUGGCCUUGGCUUCAGCAGGUCGAGUUUGGUACGCAUCACUCUCCCCAUCAUAGCUUCUGCCGGGGCGACUCCAGUGGUGCUGUGCUGGGUGUUUCGGUACAUCAUCAGGAACGAUGACAGCUGUAGUUCCAGCGGACGGUCAUCUCCGCUCAGAAGACAUGCUUUGAGCUUCUGCUUGACUGUUUGCACCAUUCUUUCAGCCAGUCCGUUAGACUGAGGUCGAUAUGGUGCGAUUCGGAUAUGUUUUAUCCCCAGCUUUGUCAUAAACUCUUCAAACUCUCUCGAGGUCAGCUGCGCUCCGUUAUCCGUCACAACUUGCACCGGAAUUCCCCACCUUGCAAAUAUCUUGGAGAGCUCACUGAUUGUUGCUUCUGCUGUGACUGUCUUCAUGGUGACUAUCUCUGGCCACUUGGUAUGACUGUCUACUACGACUAGGUAAUGUUGACCUCUGAAAGGUCCUGCGUAAUCCAGAUGGAUCCGCUCCCACGGGUUCUUCGUAUGUUCCCACGGAUGUAGAAACACCGCUGGUCUCUCGUUUUGUCCAGCUUGACAUCCUGCACAGCCUCUUACAGCUUCUGUCACAUCUUCAUCGAUCUUUGGCCACCAAACAUAACUUCGUGCCAACAUCUUCAUCUUGCUGAUGCCUGGGUGGCUGCUAUGAAGUUCACGGAGCACCUCGGCUCGCAGAUUCUCCGGUACCACGACUCUGUUACCCCAGAGAAUACAGCCACAGGUGAGCGACAGUUCACUCCUCUUUGCUUCAAACGGUUGCAGCUCGGAUGGGAUCCUUUCCGGCCAGCCGCUGAGGAGGUACUGUGCCACCUUUGAUAGAACUCUGUCUCGACCAGUGGCCCUCUUGACGUGUUCACAGGUGAGUGGCGCCAUCCUGUCCCACUGCUCCAGGAAGCACACUGAAGCUUCAUCUGUGAUCCUGUCAGUCUCCUCUGCUUCCGGAACUGGCAAACGAGACAAGAAGUCAGCCAUGGGAAUGUCUGCUGCUUUUCUGUACUCCACAUCAUAGGUACUGGCGGAACCGUUUCACACCGAAGAUAACGGCCAGCCCUUCCCGUUCGACCUGGGCAUAAUUCUUCUCGGCUGUGGAUAGGCUUCUGGAGGCAAAUCUGACAGGCCUCUCGUUCCCGUCUCCGUCCACCUGCACGAGAACGGCUCCUAAGCCAUACGGACUGGCGUCCGUGAUCAAACGCACUGGCUUCCGUCCGUCGUAAUGUGCCAAGACGGGUGUGCCAAGACGGGAUAGGCUUCUGAAGCCAAGGCCCGCCGACAAGGUGCUAAAUGCACAGGCGAAACAGAUGGAAAACGGCAGCAAAAGAUUUCCAGAAUACCAGUCUGGAGACAAGGUGCUGGUACGCAACUAUGCAGGCGGACCAAAAUGGAAGGAGGGCCAUGUUAUUGGGCGAACAGGACCAGUGUCCUAUCAGGUGGCAGUAGACGGACUGACAUGGUCCCGUCACGCAGGACAGCUGCUUCCGCUGGGACAUGCCAGCAAGCCAGCCUCGAGAGCAGCCGAUCCACGAGCAGGCUCAUCCGAGACACGAAUACUUGGAACUGAAACGGAGUCAAGGAGGAACAAUUCACCGCUUCGUCAGCGAGUAACCGAGAUGUCCUCCCGCCCAGUGACACGACAAUCGGUUCCAGCUGAACCGCGACCACAAGAGGUCAGCAGGAGCAACCCAACUGAUGACGACAGGGUCCCUGAUACGGACACGACGCUGUCGGAAGCCGGGUCAUCUGUUGAACAUUCAAAUGACGCUGAAAGGAGCACAGAAGGGAAAGAUAUAGCAGAAGAUGGACACAGCGAUGGAGACCCGUCCUCUGGCCAGGAUGUUACUACAUGCUCUGGCCGAACGAGGAUAUUCACUAGAAGUGGCCGAGAAGUACGCAGGCCUCUCCGUUUUCAAGCAGGGGAGCCAUAAAGGUCACAAGCGGAGUGGGGUCACAUUUUAGGGGGUGUGAGUUGUUGUGUUGGUCACUGACCUUUUAUGUCAGAGGUCACUAACCUCAUAAGAGGUAUCCGUGUUUUAACUGUACGUGCCGAGAACGCGAUAUUUUAUCUGAGGAAAUUUGAACGUUCUCUCGGCACAAACUGAACGGUGUUAUAAUUUGGUCUUUAAUAUGUAAGGCACUCGAAUACAGGAAUUAAACUAAACGAACUCUAAGUUACA
rnacentral:misc_RNA from 1 species